UACGUAGGGUGCGAGCGUUGUCCGGAAUUAUUGGGCGUAAAGGGCUCGUAGGCGGUCUGUCGCGGUCGGGAGUAGAAAACUCGAGGGCCUUAACCCUGAGCCUGCUUCCGAUACGGGCAGACUAGAGGUAUGCAGGGGAGAACGGAAUUCCUGGUGUAGCGGUGGAAUGCGCAGAUAUCAGGAGGAACACCGGUGGCGAAGGCGGUUCUCUGGGCAUUACCUGACGCUGAGGAGCGAAAGUGUGGGGAGCGAACAGG
rnacentral:rRNA from 1 species